GAGGAAGUAAAAGUCGUAACAAGGUUUCCGUAGGUGAACCUGCGGAAGGAUCAUUAUAGUAUAUGGAAUACAUUUCUAUAAACCCACUCUGUGUAUCUUGUAACUGUUGCUUCCAUGGGACUUGGACCUAUGUCCACACCGGCCUUACCGCUGGUGAGCGCCCAUGGGAGGAGAAACAAAACUCUUCUUUGAACUGUAGUCAGUCUGAACAUGUUUUUAUAAACGUUAAAACUUUCAACAACGGAUCUCUUGGUUCUCGCAUCGAUGAAGAACGCAGCGAAAUGCGAUAAGUAGUGUGAAUUGCAGAAUUCAGUGAAUCAUCGAAUCUUUGAACGCACAUUGCGCCUUCUGGUAUUCCGGGAGGCAUGCCUGUUCGAGCGUCAUCAAAAACCUCAAUCUCUGAUUUAUCAUUGGUUGGUCUUGCGUUGGAGGCGUCAGCUUCCUCUGCGAAAUUCAAUGGCGAAGAGCCACGCAACCAAAGCGUAGUAAUUUAUUCUCGUGAUGGAAACGUGAGCGCUUCUGCCCGCAUUUGCGGGACAUUAGCCUUCCAACAACGGGUCGUG
rnacentral:rRNA from 1 species